rnacentral:misc_RNA from 1 species
UUGUUUUGCGGUUGCUGCGGC